CAACCCUCGAGCCCUGCUCGGUGAUGGGCCCCCGUCCGCUAUGGACGGGCCUGAAACUGGUGGGCGCCUAUCGUCCGGCCCCGAGCGUAGCAAGAGAAAUCCCUCGCUCGGUGGACCAUCCGGUGGCAGCCCCGACCUAAAUUUUUACAA
rnacentral:misc_RNA from 1 species